rnacentral:misc_RNA from 1 species
UUUUGUAGGAGCUGCCGCAGGCUGCGAUCUUUUGAUUUGUUUUGAAGAUCAAAAGAUCGCAGCCUGCGGCAGCUCCUACUUUU